rnacentral:rRNA from 1 species
GAUGAACGCUGGCGGCGUGCCUAAUACAUGCAAGUCGAGCGAACGGACGAGAAGCUUGCUUCUCUGAUGUUAGCGGCGGACGGGUGAGUAACACGUGGAUAACCUACCUAUAAGACUGGGAUAACUUCGGGAAACCGUAGCUAAUACCGGAUAAUAUUUUGAACCGCAUGGUUCAAAAGUGAAAGACGGUCUUGCUGUCACUUAUAGAUGGAUCCGCGCUGCAUUAGCUAGUUGGUAAGGUAACGGCUUACCAAGGCAACGAUGCAUAGCCGACCUGAGAGGGUGAUCGGCCACACUGGAACUGAGACACGGUCCAGACUCCUACGGGAGGCAGCAGUAGGGAACCUUCCGCAAUGGGAGAAAGCCUGACGGAGCAACGCCGCGUGAGUGAUGAAGGUCUUCGGAUCGUAAACCUCUGUUAUUAGGGAAGAACAUAUGUGUAAGUAACUGUGCACAUCUUGACGGUACCUAAUAAGAAAGCCACGGCUAACUACGUG